ACGAACGCUGGCGGCGUGCUUCACACAUGCAAGUCGAACGGAAAGACCCUGCUUUUGUGGGGUGCUCGAGUGGCGAACGGGUGAGUAACACGUGAGUAACCUGCCCUUGACUUUGGGAUAACUUCAGGAAACUGGGGCUAAUACCGGAUAGGAGCUCCUGCUGCAUGGUGGGGGUUGGAAAGUUUCGGCGGUUGGGGAUGGACUCGCGGCUUAUCAGCUUGUUGGUGGGGUAGUGGCUUACCAAGGCUUUGACGGGUAGCCGGCCUGAGAGGGUGACCGGCCACAUUGGGACUGAGAUACGGCCCAGACUCCUACGGGAGGCAGCAGUGGGGAAUAUUGCACAAUGGGCGGAAGCCUGAUGCAGCAACGCCGCAUGCGGGAUGACGGCCUUCGGGUUGUAAACCGCUUUCGCCUGUGACGAAGCGUGAGUGACGGUAAUGGGUAAAGAAGCACCGGCUAACUACGUG
rnacentral:rRNA from 1 species